GAAUUUUAUAUAAUAAUUUAUUAAUAAAGUAGGGAGAUUAAUUUGGAUAAAAUAAAUAAGUUAAUUAUAUUUAAUUGGGAGGAUUAUUAAAUUUAUUUAACUUUAAUAAAAUAUAUAUGUAAAAUUUAAUAAUAUAGAUUAGUAAAUUUUAUGAAUAAUAUAAUUAUAAUAUUAAUGUAAAAUUAAUUACCUUAGGGAUAACAGCGUAAUAGUUUUGGAAAGAUCAUAUUAAUAAAAUUGAUUGC
rnacentral:rRNA from 1 species